rnacentral:rRNA from 1 species
UGGGGAAUAUUGGACAAUGGGCGAAAGCCUGAUCCAGCCAUGCCGCGUGUGUGAAGAAGGUCUUCGGAUUGUAAAGCACUUUAAGUUGGGAGGAAGGGCAGUAAGCGAAUACCUUGCUGUUUUGACGUUACCGACAGAAUAAGCACCGGCUAACUCUGUGCCAGCAGCCGCGGUAAUACAGAGGGUGCAAGCGUUUAUCGGAAUUACUGGGCGUAAAGCGCGCGUAGGUGGUUCGUUAAGUUGAAUGUGAAAGCCCCGGGCUCAACCUGGGCACUGCAUCCAAGACUGGCGAGCUAGAGUAGUGCAGAGGGUGGUGGAAUUUCCUGUGUAGCGGUGAAAUGCGUAGAUAUAGGAAGGAACACCAGUGGCGAAGGCGACCACCUGGGCUCAUACUGACACUGAGGUGCGAAAGCGUGGGGAGCAAACAGG